AUACGUAGGGCGCGAGCGUUGUCCGGAAUUAUUGGGCAUAAAGAGCUCGUAGGCGGCUGGUCGCGUCUGCCGUGAAAGCCCGCGGCUUAACCGUGGGUCUGCGGUGGAUACGGGCCGGCUAGAGGCAGGCAGGGGCAAGUGGAAUUCCUGGUGUAGCGGUGAAAUGCGCAGAUAUCAGGAGGAACACCGGUGGCGAAGGCGGCUUGCUGGGCCUGUCCUGACGCUGAGGAGCGAAAGCGUGGGGAGCGAACAGGAUUAGAUACCCUGGUAGUCCACGCCGUAAACGUUGGGCGCUAGGUGUGGGGUCUUUCCACGGGCUCCGUGCCGUAGCUAACGCAUUAAGCGCCCCGCCUGGGGAGUACGGCCGCAAGGCUAAA
rnacentral:rRNA from 1 species